rnacentral:rRNA from 2 species
UAAGUCAGCCACGAAUAGGCUAUCCCAACUAACGGCGGGAAAGACUCCACGGAGGGUGUAAGACCCGUGUGGGCGCGUGUUAAAGCUGUGCGGGCUCGGCCUCCAUUCCCUGAGAGUCGCGUUGCUUGAGCAUGCAGCGCUAAGCAGGUCGUAAACUCGAUCUAAGGCUAAAUAUUUCCACAGAACCGAUAGCGAACAAGUACCGUGAGGGAAAGUUGAAAAGCACUCUGGAGAGAGAGUCAAAAGACCGUGAAACCGCUCAGAGUAUAAGCCCAUGGCAGCUUGGAAGGCAUAUCGCUAGCGGGGCAUCGGUCUCCCUUCGCGGGGAGCUGGUGUUACCUUGCUUCUGUUGUGGCUCGUCAUGGUAGGGGGGUCAGGUCCACAUCCCGCCGUCGUGAGGGGGGUUCUUGGGUGUGUUGUGGUUUCUCGGGUGGCUUCGGCUAUCCGGGGGGCUCUUCGUGCUCGGUUCCCUUUUAGACACGGACGUUCAGACUCAGUUGCAAGACGCGAUAAACAGCCCACCACGGCACGUUGUGAGGUCACCCACAGGCUCGACUUUCGAUCGUGAUCCUUGACGCCGAGCAAGCACAAUGCGUGUCGCAGAGGUUCCUAACCAGGCAAAGGUGCCAGGAUCGUGGAACGACACGCGCUCAACAGUCAGGUUCGGGCGAAGACGGAGUUCUGGUACGAUCCUCUUGCGACGAGCCGGCUUCUGGCCGACAUCCGAUGCUCAGGUCUCCCGCAUGUGCCGCGGGAGAUCGCCUUGACGGUCUGGA